GGGUGAUUCCGGUGAGAUAUGUUUGAUAUUCUUGGUUGUUAAAUUUUAUAUUAUCACCCAGGAAUCAAACAUAUUAUUACUGUGGUCAUCAUGAGACUUCG
rnacentral:pre_miRNA from 1 species